GUUAAUGGAAAACUAAUGGCACAACAGCUGCAGCCCCUCUUGUUCCCUUCCCCUCUCUGUGUCUGUGACAGCAGCACUUUGUGGCAAGUCAUUUUCAACAAUGGAAACUCACAAGGAGUACACCCACAAGGGAGCAAGAAGGAAGGAGAAUGCUCUCAGUAUGCCUUAUUCCAGGGGAAAAAAAAAUGAAGCGAGUCAUUUGUAAUGCUACGUGCAGAAGAUUCUGGUGUCGUGAUCUUUCACUUUUGCCCUGCAUCUAAUACUGAGGAUCAUUCAGCCACGAUGAAACCAGCUGGAGGAAAUUCUCUCCUUCAAGACACGAAGGCCAAUGACGGAUAGUGCUCUCCUGAACCAUAACUCCCCAUGGUUACUUCUUCCUGAGACCAGACUCUUGGUGCAUGUAAUGAGCUGUGUCACAAAGCAAGAAUGACGCCAGGUCCAGAAACCUCUGAACAAGACUUCAGCCCAGGUGUUCUCCAGCUCUUCGGCAUCUAGGGGAAGGAACAGCUAUCUCAUCAGCUUCUCCGAAGGAAAUGCCUUUUUAAUGGAUCCAAGUCUCCAGCAGGACUCAAAGCAGCAAGGCAAUAAAGUCAGAAGUGUUUGUAGAAGGAAACUGCACUAAAACUGCUGGCAUCAGGUAUCUUGGAAAGGAAGACUGCUGACCCAUCGAGAUGCUGUACCAACCUCAUCCCUCCCUCCUGCUAUACACACUUGGCCGAUGCACAUAUUCGUACCCUCAUUCUAACCCCACCAACCACUGAAUUCCUUUCCAGCCCUCCCCCUCCUGCACCACCUGACCCACAAGAUUUUACACUGGAAAAUCAUAGAAUAGAAUUGCAAGACAUUUUGGCUGGCAUCUCGGUGUUCUGUGUUUAUUUAUGUGUUCUUCCAUGCUCUUUGACUGUAUCUGACAUUAUUCCUCACUUCCUCUGCAUGCAAGACUUCCUUCAGACAAAUGCAUGAAGCAGAACUGACCAGCAGUGCCAAUCUGAUGCUGAGGAGACACGAUUUAUGCUACGUGUAAUCCAUUUUGGCAGUACACGGACCUUAAACCCCGUUUAAGGUUGCAGCACUGCUUCAUGUUGGAGUUUUUUAAUGUAAACCACAGGGCUGAUAUGUCUACUAUGAGACCAUCGUCUUCUCCUCCUGCCUGUCCUUUUCUCUGUGGCAUCCUCAGUGAGGACAGACACAAGGGGUGCCCAUCACUGCUCCAGGAUGGCUGAGCUGGAUGAGGUUCUCAUUAGCAGCACUGAGGUCCUGUUCCUCCUACUGACACCAACACUGCUGAUGGUUACGUUUACAUUUUAAUUUUGCACUUUCGCUCCUCUAUGUGUGGGAUUUCAGGCAAGUGUUUCACUGGGGCUGCCAGCCCUAGGAGCAAUCCUUCAGCUCUUCUGUGCUCUGAUUCUAGAGAACGAUGACAGUUGUGCCUGCCUCAUAUAAAAACAAGGCUGAACAGCUAAACUUCAUAACUGUAAAUGGGGGGGAGGGGGAAACGCCCAAUGAACUAAAAAGCAAAAGAAUGCUCUCAGAUGGUGACAGAUCAGGAAAAGUCCAGCUGCUAAGAUUACCCAAAGGUGAAAGUUGACAGAAGCCCACAAGGACUCAGCAUGGAGACAUCCAGCAAACAAGAUGUAAUAAGACUGUCUCAGGGGAGCCGACACGAUUAAGAUUGUGAUGUCCAACCUUAUCUCUGACAGCACGUUGCCUCCCAGCUACGAAUGUUCAAGUGUUUAUAAAAAUCUGACAGGGUAACUGCAAGAAAUGUAAUACAACUCAUCAUGGGGGGAAAAGAUGGUCGUGGAAAUAGCUGAGAAUUGUGUUGGCAAAACUAUUGAGCCCUAAGGAAAUGGGACUGUUUUAGUUACACAGUCCUUUCUAUGCUAAUGAUAAUCCAUAAACAUUAGCAUUCCGCACAUUAGCUGGGUCAAUUUAGACCUGAAAAACUGUUUGGGUAUGACAAUAAUUAACUAUUAAAUCCAAAUAGUUCACUCAUCCAUUCCUGGAGUGCUCUACUGAAAUCUCUCAGGAAUGUGCUGUGUUAAAAGCCUGCAGGAGACAAGCUCAGGUCUGCUGAGCUCACCUGGCUGGAGACACGAGACCUCCAUCCUUUCCUCCAGCAGAGCAACACGGGAGGAGAUUUUCUAAAGGAAAUAAGUGCAAGUGUACAAAAUAAAGAAGAGAGGGAAAAAAAUCCAAGCAUUCUGCCUCCUCUGGACAGCAAUUUAAGUGAUAAUUGUAUUCUGCUGCAAUAAACUAACCAACCAGAUGUUUCAGAUAAUUAGUAUUAAAGUUAGAUUUUUAUAGCAGCUGUUUUCUUUCUGCCAGACAAGCAGUGUAUCUGCUUCCUGGGCAAAGUCUUCCAACAGGAUGUCUAAGACGUGACUGUGAUGUGUGAUGGCACUUGUUAAACCAUCCAGCUUGAGUCAUGGUAAGCGUGGUAGCAUGUGCAGAAUCUCACUUGGGUUGCCAGGUACGCACUUGGUGGGGUUACAUGUGUGUUCCCACAGCUUUGCUGCCUUUAGAACUCAGCCUGGCACAGGCUGACUCUGUCUCCAAAAGCUGACUGGCAAGACCAGCAAACUCCAAACCUUUGUUUUUGCAGGGAACUGUGCAAAUUCCACUGACGUCAUUCUAAAUCCUCAAGUGUUUUAAGAGACGCUGUUCCAUUUUCACCUGUUAAAAAGUCUGUUGGGUUAUCCAUCCUGUUUAUAACAUACUGUAGAGUCCAUCUGGAGCAAAGCACAUCUUAUAAAAUCAUAAAAUCUAACUACGUUAGUAGAAUUAGUGUCCAAAU
ensembl:lncRNA